UGGGGAAUUUUGGACAAUGGGGGAAACCCUGAUCCAGCCAUCCCGCGUGUGCGAUGAAGGCCUUCGGGUUGUAAAGCACUUUUGGCAGGAAAGAAACGUCGCGGGUUAAUACCCCGCGAAACUGACGGUACCUGCAGAAUAAGCACCGGCUAACUACGUGCCAGCAGCCGCGGUAAUACGUAGGGUGCAAGCGUUAAUCGGAAUUACUGGGCGUAAAGCGUGCGCAGGCGGUUCGGAAAGAAAGAUGUGAAAUCCCAGAGCUUAACUUUGGAACUGCAUUUUUAACUACCGGGCUAGAGUGUGUCAGAGGGAGGUGGAAUUCCGCGUGUAGCAGUGAAAUGCGUAGAUAUGCGGAGGAACACCGAUGGCGAAGGCAGCCUCCUGGGGAUAACACUGACGCUCAUGCACGAAAGCGUGGGGGAGCAAACAGGAUUAGAUACCCUGGUAGUCCACGCCCUAAACGAUGUCAACUAGCUGUUGGGGCCUUCGGGCCUUGGUAGCGCAGCUAACGCGUGAAGUUGGACCGCCUGGGGAGUACGGUCGC
rnacentral:rRNA from 1 species